GUCUCCGUAGAUUAGUGGUUAGAUCGCAACGUUGUGGUUACACACAAGUCCGUUGUAACGCGUGUUCGACUCACGCCGGGGACA